GACGAACCGUGCAAACGUUAUUCGGAAUCACUGGGCAUAAAGGGCGCGUAGGCGGCUUUCUAAGUCAGGGGUGAAAUCCGACAGCUCAACUGUCGCAGUGCCUUUGAUACUGGAGAGCUCGAGGGAGGUAGGGGUCUGUGGAACUUCCGGUGGAGCGGUGAAAUGCGUUGAUAUCGGAAGGAACGCCGGUGGCGAAAGCGACGGACUGGAUCUCUUCUGACGCUGAGGCGCGAAGGCCAGGGGAGCAAACGGG
rnacentral:rRNA from 1 species